UCAGAGUCCCUAUCUCAGCAGACCUGACAGAGUACGAGCUGUCAACAUCUAGUGAAUUAACAUGACUACGGAUGAGCACACUUCCCAGCCUUUCUAACUCAUGUAUAUACACCUUAGCGAGAAACUCUGGUACGGGGAUACUGUGUGAGGGUCCAUGUGAGCCUGAGGAUAGAAGAGAGACAAUGAGUGCAUGGAGGCGUGUCCCUCCCCAUAUCUGCCGAGUCUCUUUACUUCUCAAAGCAGAUUUUGCAGAAACAAAGGAAAGACCCUGACGCUGACAUCCGGACUGCUUGACUGUUCUCAUGCCACAUGCUUGGUGUCAGCAAGGUCACGCACAACCCCACUUCCCUCCCUGCCACCACAGAGCAGUGAGCCAUGGCUUCUGCGCUGCGUAUGACAAGGGGAGGAACUGACGUCUGGCUAGGGACGCUGCAGAGCAAGAUAAAAGACAGAAUUCUGGGCAGUAAAUGGUGAUAUGAUGCAGCAUUUGAACGGAACAAUCUGCAGAGGUGGGGGAAUGGUCCCUCAGUGCAUGUACACCUGUGUGUGUGUGUGUGUGUGUGUGUGUGUGUGUAUUGCAGGAGUAUCGUUCCCUGGAAGCGGCUGGAAACACCUGUCCCUUGUGCAAUCCCCAUGCCUUCCAAACAUACACUUCAGAAAUGUCUCUGACGCCUGGUAGCUGUACAGUCUGCAGAGCCCAGGCUGGAAGGGUUUUUCUACGGACAAAGUCCAGGAACAAAGAGAAUGAGCUGUGACUAAGGAGGCUUCUGCUGGCAGAUGUUCAGCACAGGCCUCUCCCUGCAGGUCAGUAAUGCCAUUUGAUUCAGACCCAGCACCUGGAACCAAACCCCACCUCUACAUAUCCUCCUCAGAGCUCCUUCAACCAGCUGGAUAUUCUCUCCAAGCCAUUAACAGGAUCAGUUGGGACACUCCCUUACCCUGGGGCACAGAAGCACAGAGAGAGAAUCCCUGGUCACUACAAUGCAGGACAACACACGGGGGAGGCAGGGAGCGGCCUGAUCUCCAGAGAAGUUUCCCCAGGUGCAAAAUGCAGCCAACAGUCUUGCCUGACCUCACAAGGAGAGGAGUGACUGUAAGCGUCAGUCAGUUACUGUCUGCCAAGUGCUAUACCAAUGCUGAGCAUUAUCUACUCUGGAGGGCUCUGCAGGAGGACACGUUGCUGUACAGUAGGCAAAGUACAGAAACGAACAAAUAAAAGAUGCACAUUUACAGGUUUUAAAUAUUAAGAUGUCCCAGUUCACUUUAUACAAUACAGCCUGAAAGACAACAUCUGUACUCUGUCAGCCUGGCCCUUGUUACAUGUUCAUGCAAACAAACUGCUCAGGAUACUUGAGUUGCAAAACCACUCUAAUUUCUUUCACAAGGAGCAGAAGAGUGCCAGCUCCAAAUUCAGCAGAGACACUGGGAAGGACCAGGGAGCCCCCAAACACAGUCUUUCUGACAAGAUAGCCCAGGGGGAGUCCAUUAUUUUUGUGAAGGACCAAAUGUCUUGAUCAAGGUAUAGUCAAGGUCUAGACUCCAGAGAAAAUCAUAAUAAAUAAUAAGUAAAUAAAAAGAUUUUGGGGUCUGUUCAAAAGCAUCUGGCGGUCCAGAUUUGGCCCACAGUCUGCCUCUUGACUACUCCUAAUACAGCCCAACAGAUCCCUGAGCCCAGAGUGGGAAGUGGGCUGUUGCAUCACAUGAAUAUUAGCUUGUGUUAUGUUCUGCUUGAAAAAACAAACAAACUAGAUGAAUUGAAAUACAAUACGUGCUUUUCAGUAUCAUAAGAACGGCCACACUGGGUCAGACCAAUGGUCCAUUUAGCCCAGCAUCCUGGCUUCCGACAGUGGCCGGUGCCAGAUGUUUCAGAAGAAGUG